AUAGGACUAAGCUUCAGAAUAUAACAACAAAACCGUCAAAAACAAAAAUUCAAAUAAUAUAGUUAAAAUGGAAUAAUUAAUUUGAAAAAUUUUCAAAACUAGCUGUUAACACUUGGGAAGAGAUUUGCUCUCCUAAAACUCGGCCUGAAGCUGUGCCACACUCCUCACUGGCUAGUCCGCCUGUCAGCCCAACCCUACUCAACUCAGUACAGGGCAGCAUGGAGAGACAGAGCAUCUUGGAAGAGAGGGCAGAGACAGUCCGGUCCGGUCCGUGCUUGCUGGAUUCUCUUCACAAGGGCUUCCCCACCAAGCUGGGCCAGAGAUCUCCAUGGGAAACCUCCAAUAAGACCCACAGGAAGCUACUAACAUGAUUGAAAGCUAAGGACAACCCACAUUUCACAAGGAACUCAAGAAGAAGGAAGACCAAAAGGCCUGCUCUUUUAUUGGUGGGAAACAGAAGAGUGGAUCUGGGCGAGAGUGGAGGAAGAAGUAUUGGGAAGAGUGGAGCCAGAAUAUACUGUUUGAGACAAUAACAACAACAACAACAACAACAAACAAUUACAGGCCCAUAAAUAGAACUUGACACCACGUUACCUCAGGAAGAAAU